GUGAUCAAUCUGUGCUAACUUGGACUCCAUUGCUUCGUUGCUUCUUUGGCCUUUCUGGGUGCCGCUGCUUUUCACCACAUUAAUUAUCACAUUUCUCCAACCCUUAGUGUGAUUCUCUGUAAACAGGAUUAUUAUAACUGCUGCUCCCAGAGCUCAGUCUGUUUCUCCUUCAAACAGUCGUUCAGGCUUCUCUGUCCUCAGCAACAUGUGGAUUUAUGGAAGCGUUUAAAACCAGGUCUGCACAGGAAAAAAAAGAUCCAUAAUGUACCAAAACUUUCACAUCAAUCUACACUGCGGUACUUUUCUGGGGGAGGAAGACACAGUCUGCUGCAUUUGGAAAAAAACAUUGUCCCUUGACAUCACCCCUCUCCAUUCAUAUCAGCCCAAACUCCAGUGGCAUGAAGCCCAGGCUGAGUCACCUCUACCAGUCAUAUUGCAUUGGCCAGAACACAAGUCAUUGUACUGUAGACGGAGGGGAGAGGAAGAGAUGUGGAGGGAGGGGCAGCACACAGACACACAUACACUGUCUGUGGCUCACUAAUAGCAGACAUUUGAUGAGAAGGCCAGUGAGGAGGAAAGGAAUUAAAUAUUCAUUGGCGACGAUGACAAGUUGGGCUGCGACGAAGAGGAUGUGGAACAGAAUCUAAGGCAGCUUUUUGUGGGCGAUGAAAACCAGCGUGAAUGUUCCCGUGUGGGCAGACAAACGCUAAGAGUUGGCCUUUAACACUUUUUUUUGUUGUUGUUUUUUUUACUAUUCACAGCUUAAACCAGUGGUUCUGGAUCUUUUGGAUCUCCCUCUCCCGGAGAUUUAGCAGCUCUGAAGUAAAACUGAGACCAGUCCAGCAUUUAAAUCAAACGUCUGUCUCUGUGAGUCAGAGUGGAGACAUUUCUGCGGAGACACCAGAGAGAGGGGGGAGGAGAGGUGAGAGGAGAGGAGAGGGAGGUGGUAGUGACAUGCAACGACAGUUGUCCCCGACUGAACUUGAAAUGUAGGUGUUGUUUUCAGUUCUGCACAGCAGAUAAUUAAGAACAGACAGGUUUGAUUAAAAGUACAAGGACACGGAAAACCGAUGGAAGUCAAAAAGUUUUAAGACAAAUUAAAAUCUUUGUCUUCUUUAUGUCAGUCUGCUCUCUUCCCCAGUGGUGUUUCCAUCAGAGAAUUUUUUUCUCUGUAGAAUUCUAAAGGAUGACCUUUGACAUCAGGUCACGACCAGCUUCUUGAUCUGGUAUGUGGACAGAAAUUCACUUCUUAUAAAUGUGUUUUCAGUUUUUACCGGAAAUGAAAAGACAGGUAAGUUGAAAUAUGACUCUGCUUCUUUCUAUCAGGCUUGUGAUUUGAUGGUUGCUAGUUUAAAUCCCCCUUUUUUUCCCCUCCAGGGGCGGGUGUCUAUUUUAUUGAUUCAGCGUCUUCACUCGUUAUGGUGAGUCAAAAAUAUUCACUGUUUCACUGGUGCUUUAAAUGCAGAAGUCAAAUUUUAUUCUGUUGUUAAACCAUUUCUUCUCUAAAUAUUUAACGUUGAGUUCAUCAAUUUUUAAAGAUAUUUUUUUUUUCAAAUUUUUUUUUUUUCCAUUGAACGCCCCAACGUACUGGCAAUGUUCUGUUUUUAUAUUCCGGCCUUGGUGAGUUCUUCUGCAGCCGUGAACAUACAAACACACUCCUCGUGUUAUCUGCCAGUCCACAAAUUUCACACCAGUGCCCCCUGGAUUUCCAUUCUUCUGUUUGUGAACAGGUUGAGAAGGUGAAGUCACCUCACCCUUUUAAGUCCUGUCCAAACUUUCAGAGGGUCUCAGUGACCCGGCCACUGGGCCUGAAGCACUCCUCCACUUAGGACCACCUGGAUGGCUGUAGCCCGUCCGUGUGGCUUUGAAAGAUUUUUGAGUGCACAGUGAUAAAAGCUCAGACAUCAGAGUAAUAAAAGGCUGUCAGGCUGUGAGGGAGAUGAAGUCUCUCCCCCUACUCCUCUCCAUCCAUCUCCCUUUGUCUUCCGGCUCCUCUCCAUUCCGUCAAUGCUUUCCUCAGCUCACUGUUCCGAUGCACUGGUGCCACAGUCUAUACUGUGAUCUGUGUGGUCAAUGGAGCCUGACAGGAGGGAGAGGAAGAGUGUCACAGUAGAGGGGGAGGGAGGGGAGGCGUUAUGUGGUGUGUGAGGGAGAAGUUGAUCAGAUUUAAGUUACACGAGUCCUUGAACAAAGUCACAGCGUGGAGGACAGCAGGUGGAGCUGUGGCUGCUGUCGCCCCCGCUCCCCCGGAGGAGGUCUGGUCCAGCGAGCCUCCGUUGGCUGGGACCUCCCCUCAGUCCAUCAGCAGGAUCAGCUGUGAAUGUUAAUGUAAACAUUAGCUUGCAGCGUUAACAGUAUUGAUUAUUGCUCAACUCCUUGUUACAGCUGCCCUUCCAGAGCGAGCGUGGGCCUGAAUUAAUCUAGACUGAAGACAGCGGUGGGAAUAUUAAGAGUUCUGGUGUGAAAAGGUCCGGGUGUGAAGAAAACUCUGCUUUUAAAGGACUAGUACUAGGUUUUAGAGUGUUAGAGUGAACAGUUGACCUAAUCCUGCAGGGGUUUGAAGGUGAGUGUGACUGGAUGCCUGUUAGAUUCUCUGAUGGUGUUUCUAACAGUCAGACUACAGGAUAGUGUAGUUAGACUUGGGCUAAAAAAAGUGAUCAGACAGUACUGCAGCUGACCACUAUGUGUCACACUGGAGUUCCACAUCUGUCCAGUGCAGUGAUGAAUGUUCAGAGUGUGGGCGAGACUCCAUUUUCAUGAGGUUUGUUUUAGUGAUGGUGAAGGCUCAGCUUGGACCACACAUCAAACCAGACACGAUGUCACGUCUGGACUCGGAGUCGGUGAUGAGCACAUCUGUCACCGUCGUCCCAUCGAGGCCGGCGUUUGAGAUCUAUAAAUACAUCGUGGCUUUUUGAAAAAUCCCAUCUUUCAGGAUGAUGGAGGAUAAUGAAAGGGGGAGGAAAGGCGGGAUUAAAGUUUUCCACGUCUCACCCUUCACACUCUGCCGAGCAGUGGUUGGAGGACGGGGGUGAGGAUGAUGAUGCUGCCACCAGAUAACACACACACACACGUGUUCUGAUAAGGUGGAGAGAAGUGGUUUUCAGAUUAAUUAGAUUAAUUAAACAGGGAAACAGUCGGAAAGGUGAGAACAUGAGAGGGGUUGUGUUCUCAUUUAAUUUGAUAGGUGAGCUGUGAACACCAUCAGGAGGGGCGGUAGUGAGGGCGUGUGUGUGUUCCCGGUAUAGCUAUACCUGUGGGGACACUUGUCUAUAGAUUGGAUGUGAUUAUGUUUGAUUAGAUGAAAUGAAACCUUUGUCUGUCCAACAUGUCUGUCAGGACAGUUUGGAGGUCUCCACUGGGUGAGACAGUAUUUGGAGUCUCAAAUUAGGAUUACUGUUAAAGUCACAUGAGAGUAAGGAAUAAGAUUAGACCUGAGGAGCUAAAGAAAGUUUAUGUGGAGUACUUACUAAAGUGUUCGUGUGUACCUACCCAACCCAAAAGGACACCUGGUCCUUCCCAGAAACUGAUAGCAGGAUAGUAAAAAGGUUAUAUAAUCUAAUAAUUUAUGAUACUUCAUUUGUAAAAUUACAAUGUUUAUAUUUUUAAACCAAGUGCUUUUCGUCCAUAAUCUCAGUGUACAUCCUCUUAUUAUUUCUUGAACACACAGUUAAUCCAUGUUAUUUUAACAGACUGCAGGAACACCUCAAGCUUCAAAUAUCAAAUACUUCUACCUGCUGUUAUUUGUCUCCCUCUCUGAGUAACGUACCAGAAAACCUUUUUUUGUCUUCCUUUGUCUCAUUUUUGUGACCAAAUCCUUCCAUCGCAGCCUUCCGUUUGUCCUAACAUGUCCUGUCUCCCCCCAACACUGGUCUCUAUCCUCUGACUCUGUGUGUGAAUAAUACAUGAUCAGCCUCUCAGGUUCUGGACAUGGAGUCAGAAUAAGGUUCUUGGUCUGCUCUGUUUCUCCUCCUGCUCCACUCCUGGGACCUGGGCUGGUCAGAGUGGAAUACUGAGCGACCACAUAUUCCACUCAUCAUCAGGGAUUCAUGAUUCAGGAUGUUUAUUUUCAAAUUCACGUCUGGACUGUUGCAGGGAGCUGGAGGAACUCCUGACACACACAGGGAGAACAGGAGAACCAACCUACCUCCACCACGUGGUCAACGUGACAUCAUAAUUGGGACAAAUGGGAGGGAGGUUCCUCUCUAAUUGAUGACCUCAUCGCUGAUGUCUCCCCCGUCAUUAUCAGUCGACUCCCAUUCUGCAACUCCGGGGUCACGGGGUGACCUCUGCUUCUGUACAGAGCAGCAUUCAACUGAUCCAAGCCCAGCCGACCACCGUAUGCUGUGCUAGCUGUCAUCUGUCAGAUGCCAGGUUGGACACACACACAAACACACACACAUUUCAAAGGGACACAUGGUCUUUGAAAGCACACACUGCCACCAGCUGCUGUUUGAUGAUACAAACAGAGAACAGGUUGGUCACGGACGCAGCCGUGGAGCAGUCAGGAGUGUCAGGUUGUCUGAGAUCAUUAUCAGUGAACCUGGCCGAGCCUCUGUACUUCCACUUUGUGAGCUGUCUGGACCUUCUUCAGGAGAAGGGUUUGAAGGAAAAGAUUCAAUAAUUCAUAGAACAUCAUGUCCCAUAAGUCUCCAGGUGAUAAUGAUGUCCGACCUUGGGGCGGCUUUUCAAAUCUUCAUCUAGUUAGGUUUCUGUGCAUUUGGAGUAUCAGCAGGUACGUAUGUAUUCGUGAUUAAUCACGAUUAUUCAUGAUUAAUCAUGAUAAAUUGAGAAUCCCAAACAUGACAACAAAAAAGCUGGAACAAGAAGUCAAGUAACAGCCAAUAAUUAAUUAAAAUCACAAUCAAAAAUAUUACAUCAUAAAAAUACUGUAUAUCAAAACAAUGGAGAAGAGUUGCUGUGUGUUUCAAUACAGAGUCCAGUGAAUAAAAAAUGUUAUUAUUAUUAUUAUUAUUUGAUUUUCUAUUUCUCUGUGGGUUUGCAGUAUCGCCCUCUCCGACAGAUGGCGCCGUAGAGGACAGUCUAUGCAACCAAAGCCAACAGUCAACCUUAAAUCUGGUUUUGAAAUGUUUUUGGAUGCAGGUGUUUGAACCAGAGAUCUUCAUGCUGAAAGGCAAGAGCUCCACUCCCUUGUUACGUAUGCAUAUUGAUUGAUUGAUUCAUUCAUUCAUUCAUUCAUUCAUUGAUUUGAAGUACACAAAGUUUAGUCUGGAUUUUAUUCAAUUACAAAUAUUAACUUCCCUUUGAUUAUUUCCACUGACAUCUCUGAUUUUCAAACACAUUACUUUCAUAUCAAACUUUUACACUUUUAUUACAAUAUACUCAACAGGAAGUUAGAGAGGCGUCAUUAGUGACAACCCAUUCAUAUGGUCUCGUAUGUUAACACCCCACACUCAACUCCACGUCCACUCGCUCAUGCACCUAC